GACAGAGGGGCCGAGCGUUAGGCGGAAUCACUGGGCUUAAAGCGUGUGUAGGCGGGCCGUUAAGUGUCUUGUGAAAUCCCCCGGCUCAACCGGGGAAUUGCUGGGCAUACUGGCGGUCUUGAGCAAUCUAGGGGCAGAUGGAACAAGUGGUGGAGCGGUGAAAUGCGUAGAUAUCACUUGGAACGCCAAAGGUGAAGACAGUCUGCUGGGGAUUUGCUGACGCUGAGACACGAAAGCCAGGGGAGCAAACGGG
rnacentral:rRNA from 1 species